CAGGCCCUGGAAAAGUGAAGCAGGGAGAACCUGCCUGAGGCCUGAGGAGGGCAGGCCUGAUCGGGGACAGCCCAGGACAGAAGCCCGGAGCAGCACUGUGCCAGGGGGGAAUCGCCCAAGAAGGACAGGCUGGAGCUGGAUCCAGUAUCACGGCUGCCAAGAGCUGCAUGGGGCUUGUGAAGAGCAAACCCAUGGACCUGGUACAGAUGUAGUCUUUACUUCACUUGUGUGUCUAUUCAAUAAACUGGAAUUUCAAGGUCAUGUUCUGACUUCUCCUGUAUCACUGCAAACAAGAUGGUCAUAAAGAUCUUUCCAAGUUGAAAAAACAGAGAUUUCAGAGGAAAGGGCAGAAGAGCCAAUCUCUCCACUCUAUCUUUUCAGAGUAUUGCCUGACACACUAGGAUUUUCUUUCGUAUGAUGUGCACUCCAUCAGUAAACUCUGUAGGAUGUCUAGAUCUGUAUAGACAAGCAAUGGCAGGGGUCAGGGAUACACAGUAUUUCUGCUCUUUACUAAGUUUGGGAUAUAUAAAAAGCAAGUUGGAGAAGUUCAAUGCUUGCCCAUUUUUCAACUAAUGGUGAAUGAUCUGCUGGUAAAGGAAGAACAUUCAGUUCUGGAUCCAAGGCUGAUGAUGUUGACUAUCCCUCCAGAAGAUGACAACUCCUUCUCACAGACAUUUAUGCAUGCUCCUAAGUAAUUUGAUGUGCCACAUGUCAAAGGAAAUAAGAAAUGUCCUAACUCUACCCAAUUAAUGGGAUUUGGAAGUUUCCCAGUCUGAGCACUGAUGAAGAAGAACUGGUUUAUGGACAAGACUAGACUUCACUAGAUACAGUGGCAUAAAAUAAAUUGUUUAUUUUAUUGUACUCACUGUAGGCCUGGUCCUGCAAACACUUAAGCAUAAAAGUAACUUUAUGCAUCUGAAUAGCCCCGUAAAAAUCAGUGGGACUACUCCCAUGUAUAAAGUUACUCAUGUGCAUAAUUAGUUGCAGGAUUGGCAACUGUGGCCCUCAUCCUGUGGCUUGUUGCACACCAGCCGACUCCUGCAUCUAUGAAGAGCCCUAGUGAUUUCAGUGGGGCUUUGUAUGGAUCCAUCCAUGUUGUUCUCUUUGCAGAAGCUGGGCCAAUAUUUGUAAAAGUAGAAGUCCGGCCAGAUGUUGUGGGAAUAUGGAGGACACUCUUGUGUGUUCAUUUCAGUAAAGAAAUACAACAGUAGUAAUAUUUUUCACUGGUACAGUGCCUUUCCAUCUCCAGUCUCGAAUGACUUAUGAAUAACAGGUAUCAGCAUCCUGUGAGGCAGAGAAUUACUGUACAUGUAAUGUUAUUUGUAAAAUGUACUUUUCUCUUGCUCCACUCACAUAGACAAUAUAAAAGCAGCCGUAAAAAUGACAGAAGUAACCAAUUUUAAUUGUUAAUUCUUCCUCACUCAACCAGGCUAUCAUACCCUUUAGUGUACCUACAUCCUCUUACCAUCUAGGAGAACAGACAGGCCUUGUAGGUUAACAGAUUUGAAAUCUGUCAGACCACAGGGGAAGUGAGUUCUAGCAUCAACUGCCCCUCAUUGAAAAUGCCCUGAUGCCAUCUCUCUCCCCUUAAAACCAGGGGGCUGUUAGCAUGUGUCUUGGCUGAGCUUAACUGCCAAGGUAUCACAUAAGGUGAGAGGUAGUUAUUAAGCCAAGAAGAUAUCAAACCAUUUACAGCUUUAUAGGUCAAGACAAAUACUUUGAAUUGCUCCUGGGAAUGAAUUGGAUCAGCUACUGCUGAUCACAGUGUGCCGGUGUGAUGGUUUUCCAGCAAGAAGCACAGCUAAGCUGGUGAUGUUUAGGUGUAGCCCCAUAAAAUGAGCACUGCAGUCACCCACUGUUGAAGUGAACAAGGCACGGAUAACUAUAGAGAUGUCUGCAUCUGUAAGAAAAGGUCACAACAUCUCAAGCAAGAUGGGUUGGCAAAGCCACAAAGAGGUUAUGUCACUUCCCAAGCUCACACAGCCAGAGAGUGGUGGAGUCCUAGUCACCUGCUCUAAUCAUUAGACCCAUUGGCUCUCUGUUUCCAGAAAGAUGAGAUCCAACUAAAGUUUUUCACACUCCACUACAGAUAACAGAAACCUCAAAGGGAGAAAGUUGCUAAAUAAUUCCCUGUCAAAGGGCCUGAGCCACAGACCUGGUAAAGACAAAACUUCUGCUGGAGUUAAUGCAGUUUUUCCCAAGUAAGACUGCAGGAUUGGGCCCUAAACUAGGGCUGGCUGCGAAACAGGAAUUCUGUUUUGCAAAAACAUUAGAGGUUUUGAAAUUUGUUUUAAUUCCAGAGCAGACCAAAAAAAAAUUAUCAGCAUUUUCAGACAAAAAAAGUGUAGUCAAAAAAUUCCCAACCAGCUCUGUCCUAACCUAUAAUUGUUAAAUAGUGUUUAAUGGAGAAUUGUCUAAAAGCAAACACAUUUCAAUAACUGUGAGACACUGAUCUCUUUUCACUCUUUCCCCCCUUUAGAGUAACUUCCUUGACUCAACUAUUUAUGAUUCAUUUCAUGAAAGACUAGGUUUUCUCUGAGGGUACUAAAAAGGGCUGUAACUGUUAAGUGGUUUUAGUGACUAGUACCAACAAGGAAUUGUUUUCUUCCAUGCUGUAAAACAGACACUGUCAAUAGACUACA